rnacentral:rRNA from 1 species
CCUACGGGGCGCAGCAGGCGAGAAAACUUUGCAAUGUGCGAAAGCACGACAAGGGUAAUCCGAGUGGUUUCUGCUAAAGGAACCUUUUGUUAGUCAUUGAACCACUAAUGAAUUAGGGGUGGGCAAGUUCUGGUGUCAGCCGCCGCGGUAA